rnacentral:lncRNA from 1 species
GUUUAGAGGUCAGAGAGAUAAGGUGAAAGGAGCAAAGAAAAUUGAGAAGCAGCAACCACAGAAAUAGGCAGAAAAUCAAGGGAGUAUCAUGUCCUGGAAGCCAAGGGAAGAACAUGCUUCCAGGAAAAGAGUGAUCCAAACUGCUGCAGGCCAAGUAAGAUGACCACUCGAUUCAGCGAUAUGCAGGCAAUCAGUGACUUGAUAAGAGUGCUUUCUGUGGAACCAUGGGAAGAAAUUGGAGACUGGAACUACAACAGCACUCCCGUCCCUGGAUCAACUUUGACUUGGUGCUUGGUGCCUUCAUCCUAAAAGUCACAGAGCCACCAAUCAGUGAAGAAGCCCAGGCAGCUACACAGAGAGGUCACAUGGAGGAGAACCAAGGCCCACUGUCAACAGCUCCCACUGAACUCCCAUCUGGCAACCAGAAACGACUUCCAGCCAUGUGUCUGAAGCCACUCAGACCUUCAAGCCAAGCUAGUACCCCAGCCAACACCACAUGAAACAAAAGAAUUGUCCAUUCAACAUGAAUGGAAGAAAAAUGGAAAAUA